AUUGAACGCUGGCGGAAUGCUUUACACAUGCAAGUCGAACGGCAGCACGGACUUCGGUCUGGUGGCGAGUGGCGAACGGGUGAGUAAUGCAUCGGAACGUGCCCAGUCGUGGGGGAUAACGUAGUGAAAAUUACGCUAAUACCGCAUACGAUCUAUGGAUGAAAGCGGGGGAUCGCAAGACCUCGCGCGAUUGGAGCGGCCGAUAUCAGAUUAGGUAGUUGGUGGGGUAAAGGCCCACCAAGCCAACGAUCUGUAGCUGGUCUGAGAGGACGACCAGCCACACUGGAACUGAGACACGGUCCAGACUCCUACGGGAGGCAGCAGUGGGGAAUUUUGGACAAUGGGCGCAAGCCUGAUCCAGCCAUGCCGCGUGUCUGAAGAAGGCCUUCGGGUUGUAAAGGACUUUUGUCAGGGAGGAAAUCCUUAGCGCUAAUACCGUUGAGGGAUGACAGUACCUGAAGAAUAAGCACCGGCUAACUACGUGCCAGCCGCCGCGGUAA
rnacentral:rRNA from 1 species